AGUUCGGAUCGGAGUCUGCAACCCGAACUCCGUGAAGCUGGAUUCGCUAGUAAUCGCGCAUCAGCCAUGGCGCGGUGAAUACGUUCCCGGGCCUUGUACACACCGCCCGUCAAGCCAUGGGAGCCGGGGGUGCUUGAAGUGCGUCGCCGCAAGGCGCGCCCUAGAGCAAAACCGGUGACUGGGGCUAAGUCGUAACAAGGUAUC
rnacentral:rRNA from 1 species